AAUCUCGUGUCCCCACUGCACAUGGGUGCCUGUAGCAAGGAGCUGGGACACCAGGCCACCUCUGCUGACCCUGCAUAGAAAGGAAGAAGCAAAUAACCAGGGCCUGAUAUUUUAAAGUUGUUUUAAUGCAGUAGGGAUAGUAAACUGAGAAACUGGUCCUUCCUACUGAGGGUGAUCAGAGCGAGAUCUUCCAUAUCUGUACACGCAGGGAAACUGAUGCAAAACCACUGCAACGAGUUUUUUUUGGCAGCCAGCAAGGCUGAUGACUGGGCAGGCGGCCGUGCCCGUUGGUGCUGGUGUGAGCUGCCUCAGGGCAGGGGCUGCCCACAGGACACCCGUUUGCAUCAGCCUGAGAGACUGGCACCAGCCCCGGGCCUUCUUGGGAGAACAUCUUUGGUGGACUAUCAACAGAGCCCAGAUUUAAGGGCUUACGCCGAAAAUACUGUUUAUCAUAGAGUAACACGAUGCAUUUACCUCGUUUCCAUUGCAGGAUCAGGAGCCUAGAGGAACCAGCAGGAAUCCCCCGGCACAUCUGAUGCUGCUCUGGGCAAGGGAGGUACGCUCACUUUUAGCGAGGAACAUGGGCAGUGUUUUCAGAAAACAGCUGCUGCAAGAACAAACGCGAUUGUCUGAGUGCCUCGUCGAGAAACGUAUUUCUCCUCUAGCCACAGGGUGGUGCUUUUGCCCUCUUUAUAGCCUGGCAGUACAGCAAAAAUAGCUCGGGAACUGUUGACGAAAGUCUUUAAUUUUAGAAGAAUCAUUAGGGAUCAAAGCAGUUGUCCUUAGGCUCCGCAGAGCCCCCCGCCGCGCGGUGCGGUACCGGGCCGAGGCGCUUGCCCGGGCUGUGCCGGCAGGCCGGGGCUCGGCAGGGCUCGCAGGCCGCACUCCGCCUGGCGCUGGGUGCUGGUCACCGGGGUGCUGGUCACCGCCGUGCAGGCUUUCUGUGCAAACAACAAGUAAAGCGACUCCGAAUCCUCGCAGCUUGCUCCAUGUGGGAAAGUCUGUCGGGAUUUCCUGGUGACUCAGCCCAGGACACUGGAGUACCUACACCAGCGCCGUCAUUUCCUAUUCAGCUCCAGAGGAGUUUCAGGCACCGAGGCACAAGCCCAGCAAUCCCGUGCCUUGUCCUUUGGCAGCAGUGUGCGGUGCUGCACUGGAGCAAGAGCCGCUUGUGGCCAUGCUCAGACUCGCUCAGCACGGGGUGCAAGGACUCCCUGAGAGCCUGGCUGCUCCACGGCCACAGGGACAAGUCCUGGUGGGAGCAGACCCCCACGGUGUGCCCCUUCCCCGCCGUGACCACCGGCCCUGAGCCAGCCCCACACCAGAGGUCUGCCAGUGUGGAAGGAGCUGAUGACCCCAGGGACAGAUUUUUAAGAAUGCUUUAAAGGAUCUUGGAACACAAGACCUGUUGCAAGGCAUAUUCACUACAGCGUGGAGAUGAGCUUGAAAAUCCUUGUUGAGGCCUGUCCCAAGGACUAGCAAAUCACACAGUUGUGACUGAGGAACGGUUGUCCUU